CCCCCACAACCCCAACAACCACCCAAACCAAACCAGAGGCCCCAACACCAUGUGAAAUUAACAUUCUAUGUGAGAAUCAAUGUUUCAGGAUCAUGGAGAAACAGAUGAAAAUCAACCAACCUAUGAUUUCUUAUAUCCAAGGUGCAUGUGGUUUUUGAGUUUAAAAGAAAACAAAAAAUUAUGUGCCCCCAAAUAGUCAGAACUCGGAAGCUGAGGCCUCCCCUUCAAUUGCCACAGAAAGAGAGGAGGAAAAGCAAAUACAAGAACUAUUCAUUUUUGUCCUACAUUAUCAGAUAAAUCAAAGCAGGCUAUGAAUUAGCAUUUGUAAAUUUUACAAUUACAAGUACGCAAUAUAAGUAUGCACUGCAAAACAUGAGGAACUGCUAAUUAAGUGGAAGUUGCAAAUAUGUGGGCAUGCAUGGACAGAGAAAAUAGCGAUAUAAUUCACAAGGCCAUAAUGCAGUUUUGAUCUUGCACUACAGAAAGAGACCCCCAGUAGCUCAACAAACUUCAACCAAAUCAGGAACAAAUGAACUAAUGAUACUUUACAUUUACACCCAUUGAAACAGCACAAGGCUCAAGUUCCCAGCUCUUCAACAGUUCAACUUAGAAACCAAACAGAUCAGAGACAUAAUACCCAAUCACGAAGACACCUUACGAACAAAGCAUUAAAUAAAUUCCACUUUCAUGAUAUUGAAAAGGGAAAAAAAUCUAAAAAAUUCUUGUUCGUUUAGUUUCCCACGUAGACUAAUGAAGCUACAAAACAAAUAAAUAGAUAGAGAGGAAAAAGCGAGAGACAUAAGCAACACCUUGUUCAUUACGGGCGGUGAAGACGAUAGAGCCAGUGUCGUCGCCGACGACGCACUCAGCUAUACGAGAGGGGCGUAUAGGACGCUGAGAGAUAGACAUGGGGGGGCGGCGGGGCUUAGGGACAGGGACGUCCUUGGAGUUGACUACCUUGACGGUGAGAUUGUGGCCAGUGGUGCCGGGCUUUAGUUCUUCUACCUUGACGAAAACGGGCUUUCUCUUCUCUGCUGUGGCCAUUAUCAAGAUCGAGAGGUUUCUUGAACCCUAGCAGCCCCUAGUUUCUCCCUUCGCAGAAGAAAAUGAAAUGGGGGUUAGGGUUUUUGAUUUGGAAGUUCUGGUUGGUCUGGGACUAAAAG
rnacentral:misc_RNA from 1 species